rfam:Gorilla gorilla gorilla genomic chromosome, chr9, whole genome shotgun sequence
GCCGGGCAUGGUGGCUCAUGCCUGUAAUCCCAGCACCUUGGGAGGCUGAGGCAGGAGGAUCACCUGAGGUCAGGAGUUCAAGACCAGCCUGGCCAACAUGGUGAAACCCUGUCUCUA